GAUGAACGCUAGCGGGAGGCCUAACACAUGCAAGCUGAGCGGUAGAGUUUCUUCGGAGACUUGAGAGCGGCGUACGGGUGCGGAACACGUGUGCAACCUGCCUUUAUCAGGGGGAUAGCCUUUCGAAAGGAAGAUUAAUACCCCAUAAUAUAUAGAGUGGCAUCACUUUAUAUUGAAAACUGAGGUGGAUAAAGAUGGGCACGCGCAAGAUUAGAUAGUUGGUGAGGUAACGGCUCACCAAGUCGAUGAUCUUUAGGGGGCCUGAGAGGGUGAUCCCCCACACUGGUACUGAGACACGGACCAGACUCCUACGGGAGGCAGCAGUGAGGAAUAUUGGACAAUGGGUUAGCGCCUGAUCCAGCCAUCCCGCGUGAAGGACGACGGCCCUAUGGGUUGUAAACUUCUUUUGUACAGGGAUAAACCUAUUUACGUGUAAAUAGCUGAAGGUACUGUACGAAUAAGCACCGGCUAACUCCGUGCCAGCAGCCGCCGUAAUAC
rnacentral:rRNA from 1 species